AGACGGUUAACCCACUGAGCCACCCAGGUGCCCCUAUUAUUGCUUAUUUAUUAACACAACUAUACACAUACCUAGAAAUAGGGAACCUGGACAAAAAGAUCUCUUGAAAGUCCCCACCCUUUUAAAUUUACAUGAGUCACUCCGUGUGCAGGGGUCAGUUUUUCCACAUUUUUGGUGAUUUCCCACAGUCACCAAAAUAGAACUCUGCCUGCAAGUGGGUCCCACACAAAUGUUGAGGGAACACAAACUCAAAGUAACCUCUGUUUACUUUUGAAAACUAGCUCAAUGAAAUAAGAACAUUAGUUUAAUUAUCAUAUAUUAUUAAUGAAUAACACUUUAUUUCUCAACAAGGAAAUAAAUCCAUCAGAGACGGGGCCUAACGUGGAGCAGAUCCAGGGGACUCCUGUCAUUCAUGACCUCUUCUCUGAUUCUCCCUCGUGGAGAGAGCUUGGCCACAGUGACUACAGGCCCAGGAGUUUGGAGCCGGUGAAGCCGGAAUAUCAAUCAUCAGGAUUCCAAUGAAGAAUCCUUGGCUGAAAAAGCCACCAGGCUCCUUUCCAGGGCCGGUGGCAUUGCGUUCUGGGAGACCAAGGCUGAGCAAAGCAAUCGAAUGCUGACCCCAGAAAGCUAAAUCACACCUCGCCUUUCAAGAUACUCUAAAACCAUCAACAAACUUCCAGGGUCAAUUCAAAGCUGCUCUCUCCUCUGUAUGAACAAUGAAGAAUGUGGCUACCUGCCAGCCUGGACGCAUUCAUGACUGAAAGCAUCAUGUGUCUCCUGAGCAUUAGCUAUGCUUUAUUAUUAGCGUUAAGGACAGUAGGAACAUGUGGAAGAUGGAAACAAAAUCCCAACUAUUUUCCCUUUUGAAAUUUCUCUUCUAAUCCUAAUGGUGUACAUGCUCAUUUUUGCUUGGUAACCCACUGUGUGCAAAAGGACACGUCCUGCUUUCUUUUACUGAACGUUAGUUACAUAGCAAGUGUUUUCCUUGCUUUUUGUAGGGUACACUUUGUUUCAAAUGGCUGCAUUGUGCCAUAAUUUAAUUAAUGCCUUAUUUUUUCUUCCUUCCUUUCUUCAUUCCAAUUUCUUAACUUCCUACCCACCUUCUUUCUUUCCUUUCUUAUCAUAAAUCCUAUGGCUUCUUAUUUAUUUUGGCUUUUUUUUUUUGACCAAGUUAUCCGAUGUGGGAUUACCGUCUCAAGGCAAACAAUGCUUUUAUUAUUCUUUAUAUGUGAUGCUAAUUUGUUUUCCAAAAUAGUUGCAGCCAUUCACACUGUCAGCGAGGGUAUAGGAGUACAUCCAAUCCCCUAAACCUUUUCUAACAGUGUGAGGGAUGUCUGAAUUGCCAAAAACAUCCUUGUUGCUAUUUUUAUGUAUAUUUUUAUUUUUAGCAAGGUUGCUAAUUUUAAAUUUUUGUUAACUAUGUUUCCUGUUAUUCAGCUAAUUCAUUUAUCUACUGCAUUUUUUAAUGAAUUCUUUAAAAAAUAAAAAAAUUUGCUAUA